rnacentral:rRNA from 1 species
GAUGAACGCUGACAGAAUGCUUAACACAUGCAAGUCCACUUGAAUUUGGGCUUUUAACUUCGGUUUGGGUGGCGGACGGGUGAGUAACGCGUAAAGAACUUGCCUCACAGCUAGGGACAACAUUUGGAAACGAAUGCUAAUACCUAAUAUUAUGAUAAUAGGGCAUCCUAUAAUUAUGAAAGCUAUAAGCGCUGUGAGAGAGCUUUGCGUCCCAUUAGCUAGUUGGAGAGGUAACGGCUCACCAAGGCGAUGAUGGGUAGCCGGCCUGAGAGGGUGAUCGGCCACAAGGGGACUGAGACACGGCCCUUACUCCUACGGGAGGCAGCAGUGGGGAAUAUUGGACAAUGGACCGAGAGUCUGAUCCAGCAAUUCUGUGUGCACGAUGAAGUUUUUCGGAAUGUAAAGUGCUUUCAGUUGGGAAGAAACAAAUGACGGUACCAACAGAAGAAGUGACGGCUAAAUACGUG